rnacentral:rRNA from 1 species
AGUGAAGCGGGAAAAGCUCAAAUUUAAAAUCUGGUGGUUUUGCCAUCCGAGUUGUAAUCUGGAGAAGCGUUUUCUGUGCUGGACCGUGUACAAGUCUCUUGGAACAGAGCGUCAUAGAGGGUGAGAAUCCCGUCCAUGACACGGACACCCAGUGCUAUGUGAUACGUUUUCAAAGAGUCGAGUUGUUUGGGAAUGCAGCUCAAAAUGGGUGGUAAGCUCCAUCUAAAGCUAAAUAUUGGCGAGAGACCGAUAGCGAACAAGUACCGUGAGGGAAAGAUGAAAAGCACUUUGGAAAGAGAGUUAAACAGUACGUGAAAUUGUUGAAAGGGAAACGCUUGAAGUUAGUCGCGUCUUACUUGACUCAGCCUUGCUUCGGCUUGGUGUAUUUCAUGUGAGACGGGUCAACAUCGAUUUUGACCGGCAGACAAGGGGAGUAAGAAUGUGGCACUNUUCGGAGUGUGUUAUAGCUUAUUCUCAUAUGUGUCGGUUGGGAUCGAGGACCGCAGCGCGCCCUUGUGGCCGGAGGUUCGCCUCACGUUACGCGCUUAGGAUGUUGGCAUAAUGGCUUUAAGCGACCCGUCUUGAAACACGGACCAAGGAGUCUAACAUGCUCGCGAGUGUUAGGGUGGAAAACCCUUGCGCAGAAUGAAAGUAAAAGUUGGGAACCUCCGCAAGGGGGCGCACCGACGCCCGGCCCAGAAGUUUACGGACGGUGCUGCGGUAGAGCGCGUAUGUUGGGACCCGAAAGAUGGUGAACUAUGCCUGAAUAGGGCGAAGCCAGGGGAAACCCUG